UAGCAAUUAUACCGUGAAACUGCGAAUGGCUCAUUAAAUCAGUUAUCGUUUAUUUGAUAGUACCUUACUACUUGGAUAACCGUGGUAAUUCUAGAGCUAAUACAUGCUAAAAACCCCGACUUCGGGAGGGGUGUAUUUAUUAGAUAAAAAACCAAUGCCCUUCGGGGCUCCUUGGUGAUUCAUGAUAACUUAACGGAUCGCAUGGCCUUGCGCCGGCGACGGUUCAUUCAAAUUUCUGCCCUAUCAACUUUCGAUUGUAGGGUAUUGGCCUACAAUGGUUUCAACGGGUAACGGGGAGUUAGGGCUCGACUCCGGAGAGGGAGCCUGAGAAACGGCUACCACAUCCAAGGAAGGCAGCAGGCGCGCAAAUUACCCAAUCCCGACACGGGGAGGUAGUGACAAUAAAUACUGAUACAGGGCUCUUUUGGGUCUUGUAAUUGGAAUGAGUACAAUUUAAAUACCUUAACGAGGAACAAUUGGAGGGCAAGUCUGGUGCCAGCAGCCGCGGUAAUUCCAGCUCCAAUAGCGUAUAUUAAAGUUGUUGCAGUUAAAAAGCUCGUAGUUGAACCUUGGGCCUGGCUGGCCGGUCCGCCUCACCGCGUGCACUGGUCCGGCCGGGCCUUUCCUUCUGGAGAGCCGCAUGCCCUUCACUGGGUGUGUCGGGGAACCAGGACUUUUACUUUGAGAAAAUUAGAGUGUUCAAAGCAGGCCUUUGCUCGAAUACGUUAGCAUGGAAUAAUAGAAUAGGACGUGCGGUCCUAUUUUGUUGGUUUCUAGGACCGCCGUAAUGAUUAAUAGGGAUAGUCGGGGGCAUCAGUAUUCAAUUGUCAGAGGUGAAAUUCUUGGAUUUAUUGAAGACUAACUACUGCGAAAGCAUUUGCCAAGGAUGUUUUCAUUAAUCAGUGAACGAAAGUUAGGGGAUCGAAGACGAUCAGAUACCGUCGUAGUCUUAACCGUAAACUAUGCCGACUAGGGAUCGGGCGAUGUUAUUAUUUUGACUCGCUCGGCACCUUACGAGAAAUCAAAGUUUUUG
rnacentral:rRNA from 1 species